rnacentral:rRNA from 1 species
CGGCGGACGGGUGAGCAACACGUGGAUAACCUACCUAUAAGACUGGGAUAACUUCGGGAAACCGGAGCUAAUACCGGAUAAUAUAUUGAACCGCAUGGUUCAAUAGUGAAAGACGGUUUUGCUGUCACUUAUAGAUGGACCCGCGGCGUAUUAGCUAGUUGGUAAGGUAACGGCUUACCAAGGCAACGAUGCGUAGCCGACCUGAGAGGGUGAUCGGCCACACUGGAACUGAGACACGGUCCAG